CCCGAAGUUGGAGUUGUCUAUCCGCGGUUUGCUAUCAAAGGGUGAUGUAUGAAUAAGUUUGAUCUCCCAGAAAACAUUGUUGAAAAUCCUGAAGCAUUAAUCAAAAGGACAAGAGCCAAGCUCAGGAGAGUAACAGAACCAUCAUCAUCAACAUCUAAGCUCAAAGCUCAAUCCAAUCGGGAAGAUCAUCCAAACAUUGUUCGAGACAUGACAUAGAGUUUGAAGCCAUGGCAAAAAAGUCAAUCCGUGAGUUCUCAGCUCCCACUAUGGACAAUAUCCAUAAUGGACCUGCUGCGGACAUUGAGUGGUCAUUUGAGCUUAAGCCUGCGCUCAUCAACAUGGUGCAAGCAAGCAGUUCUGUGGGAAGCCACACGAAGAUGCUAGUGCUCAUCUCCAACACUUCGUGGAGAUUUAUAGCACAUUUACUAUCAAGGACAUUCCCAAGGAUGCCAUACUACUUUGUCUUUUCCCAUUCUCACUCUUUGGAAGAGCAAAGCAGUGGUCCUGCAAAAGAUGAGACACAACACUAGGGAGAGAGGUCAUGUCAUUAGCUAAAAUUAAAAUGUCUUUGUACACAAAUGCAAAGAGCACUUUUUCGGGGUUGUCCU